GGGGCGCGGUCCCUGAGAACUCGUCUGGGAAUCUAUACUAUGGAGCCUCGCCUCGCAGAAGGGCCAUACGAUGUAGAAAUGAGGCAUGGAGCCUCUUCAAGGAAUUUCACAUUUCACCCAUGGGAGGACACACUGGUAUUGUGAAAACCAGAAAUGCCAUGUGUUCCCGAUUUUAUUGGCCUAGUAUAACUUCAGACAGAGAGAAAUGGGUGUCUCAAUGUGACCAGUGCCAAAGAGUCGGACCUCCAUUAAGAGUAGUCAGGACACUGGAUUGCAUCAAGGUAUCACGUGUCUGGCAGCUGAUCGGAAUUGAUCUGACAGGUCCCCUCCCCAAGACAUCUUCUGGCUUUCAGUAUAUAUUGACAGCAACUGACGACUUCUCAAAGUGGGUGGAGGCUUUCCCUCUGAAAAAUAAGUCUGCAAAAACUUGUGUAGCAUCAUUUAUCGGCACGGCUGUCCUGAGCGUAUUCUCACAGACCAGGGACGAGAGUUUGUG